rnacentral:rRNA from 1 species
AUGACUCGCAUGUGCUUCCUGCUAACAACUGAUGAGGACAUCAAUACCAUUGUUACACCCACAGCCCCUGCUGCUAUACAUACUAGACCAAUUACUAGAGCUCGCGCACGCCAACUAAAUUACCAGGUACUUUCAUUUCUUGGUAAUGAUUCUAAUGUUCAUGAGAAUACGAUGCUGCCUAAAUUGGAUACAUUUGUUUUGCUUACAAAUGAAGGGCCUAGCUUGGAGAAGGAUGAACAUUGGAGCAAGAACAAGCAUAGAGAUGAUGGCAUGCGCAAGGGGAACAAGAACGGAGUUACAAGUGAUGAUUUCAGGUCUUUGAAGCCACCAUAA